GUAAAGUUUUAUCCUGGCUUAUUCUUUCAUUUUUAGGUCAAAGGUACAUGUAAAGUUUAAUACGACAAUAUAAAUUCAUCUUUAUUUAAAACUAAAGGUUGGUGGAUUAUUAUAAAGUAGAGGGUUCGUUAAAUAAUAAAUUCUCAGUAUCUAGUGCUAAUCAAUAAAUGUAAGUUGGAAUUGAUGAUCUUAAUAAAAUAUCUGGUUAAAAUUUGUGCCAGCAGCCGCGGUUAUACUGAGAGGUAAAUUGAAAGAAACUUGGUUAAAAAUAGUUAUAUUUUAUGAUCUUUUACUUUUAUGGAGCUGUGCUAAUAAAGGGUGAAAUCAAUUUUUUAGCAUACAGUAAAAUAAAAGCUUUGAUUUAAAUUGAAGCUGUUAAGAUAAAGGGAUGAACCAGGAUUAGAUACCCUGUUACACUUUAUUUAAAUUAUAAUUACCUGGGUACUAAACAGUUAUUAUCUUGAAACUCAAAGGAUUUGGCGGUAACUUAGUCUAUUUAGAGGAACCUGUCCUGUAAUCGAUAGUCCACGAAAAAUCUUACUUUACCUUGUAAAAACAGUUUGUAUACCGUCAUUAUUAGGUAACUUUUAUAAAAGGCGAAGUUACUAAAAUAGUUUAGCUAAUAUAUUAGAUCAAGGUGCAGCUAAUGGUAAAGGAAGAGAUGGGUUACAAUAUACUAAAGUAAACGGAACAAUAAAUGAAUAUUUACUGAUAAAGGUGGAUUUAAGAGUAAAAUAAUUUUAACAAGAUUAUUUGACUUUAGCUCUAGGUUAUGUACACAUCGCCCGUCGCUCUCGUUAAUUAAAGCGAGAUAAGUCGUAACAUAGUAGGUGUACUGGAAAGUGUACCUAGAAAUUC
rnacentral:ncRNA from 1 species